rnacentral:piRNA from 1 species
CACACUCAUUCUUAACAAAGCUCACUC